CUACAGGGCAACAGCUACAUUUCAAGUGCUCAACAGUUACACAUCAACAUGACAGCUCCAGAACCACAUGUAUGUAAAGCAAACCACAGUAUUCACAAAUAAAAGCAGACUUUCCUGAAUUCUCUUAUUACAAUCACUUUGCAAAGGCAAGAGAGAAUCAUGGAUGAACGUCACAGCUUCUUCCACACACGGCCAUGUCUAGACAGUGCCCAAAAGCCUCCAGGGAUGGGGCAUAAUCAAUUAGCUAGACUAAGCAUUUCCUUCCAGAAAAGACACCUAUCUCACCCCACCACUUCCACUUCUCUCCCUGACUUCCUCCCUGUUAUCCUGAGUUCAGAGUCCAAUUCCAAGUUUGUAUCCUAAAGUGCCCAUCACACAUCUCCCUUCAAAUGCAGGUGCUCAUCAAGAGAGAUUCACUCUAGUCUAGCACAGAAAGGAAACAAAAUUGAGGGCCAAUGUUUCUUUAAGAGUUCAACUAAUGUCACAAAGUCUGAGAAGCUAGGUGCUGACUAACCCUACAGGUGUUGCCUUCACCACUGCAGUAUCAGUAGUUGCUAAUUUACCGUGCACUCUCUUAAGGGAGGAAAAAUUGUGCUAGGGUACUAUAUGCUUUCCCCUUC
rnacentral:lncRNA from 1 species